AUGAAAUAUAUUGAUACUACUGUCAGAAAUUCGGAUUUUCGCAAAUACAUUCGGCCAUAACAAUAAAAUGUUAAAUGCCAGUUUUUGACCUGGUAAUAUUUUGAUUCUACAUAGGUAAAUAUCAUUAAGUUUUCAUCUCGAAGUACUCUAUUUAUUGAUGUCUUUUUCAUCGGAGAUAAACAUUCACCUUGUCAAAAAAAAUAAUGAAUCCACAAACGAUAUUAUACGCAAUAACUAUUAUAGGAGGAGUUGCAUUGGCAGUUUAUACCUCCUAUAAACAGUAUCAGGAUGCGUAUACAUAUCAGAAUAAUGAAAAUCCACAAAAUAGUUCUUAUAGAAAUUUUUACAACAGAAGGGAAAGAAGAUCAAGGAAAUAUACCCCGAAGAAAAGUGAUGAUUGUGUUAUAUGUUUGUCCACAAUGGAAAAAGGCCAGGUGUGCAUAUUGGAUUGCAAACAUAUGUUUCAUAAACUUUGUCUUGAUGGUUGGUUGAAUGAAAAAAGGGAUUGUCCCAUUUGCAGAACCAGAUAUUCGAAAUAAAUUGUGUGCCACUUCUGAAACUUAUUUAGGCUUUGUGAAAUUUUCUAGUCCAACAUAUUUCACUUGAAGAGAUUAAUACCAGUCCAUUGAAUUGUACAGAAAUUUCAUAUUUUAAUUAAUAUAAAUAAAAAUUAAUAAAUAUUCA